rnacentral:rRNA from 1 species
GUAGGUGGCAAGCGUUGUCCGGGAAUUAUUGGGCGUAAAGCGCGCGCAGGCGGUUCUUUAAGUCUGAUGUGAAAGCCCACGGGCUCAACCGUGGAGGGUCAUUGGAAACUGGAGAACUUGAGUACAGAAGAGGAAAGCGGAAUUCCACGUGUAGCGGUGAAAUGCGUAGAGAUGUGGAGGAACACCAGUGGCGAAGGCGGCUUUCUGGUCUGUAACUGACGCUGAGGCGCGAAAGCGUGGGGAGCAAACAGGAUUAGAUACCCUGGUAGUCCACGCCGUAAACGAUGAGUGCUAAGUGUUAGGGGGUUUCCGCCCCUUAGUGCUGCAGCCAACGCAUUAAGCACUCCGCCUGGGGAGUACGGCCGCAAAGGCUG